rnacentral:SRP_RNA from 1 species
GCUGGAUGUGGUGGUGUGUGCCUGUAGUCCCAGCCACUUGGGAGGCUGAGGCUGGAGGAUCUCUUGAGUCCAGGAGUUCUGGGCUGUAGUGCGCUAUGCCAAUUGGGUGUCCGCACUAAGUUCGGCAUCAAUAUGGUGGUCUCCCGGGAGCGGGGGACCACCAGGUUGCCUAAGGAGGGGUGAACUGGCCCAGGUUGGAAAUGGAGCAGGUCAGAACUCCCAUGCUGAUCAGUAGUGGGAUCACACCUGUGAAUAGCCACUGCACUCCAGCCUGGGCAACAUAGCGAGACUCCGUCUCU